ACAUUAGAACUGAUUUUAAUUGAAAAUUUGUAUCUAAAAAACGAAUUUGUUUACUGAUUUUUUGUUACUUAAACAUUUUGAUUUGCUUUUUUUAUUCAAGAUGAGCUCAAAAACUCGAUAACCAUUCGAAGAAGUUUUUUAAUGAAAGCAUUCUGUAAAAAGAAUUUUUCUUAAUACAGAAUUUCACGAGUUUCUACUGUAGUAUUCAGUAGUGAAUGCCCUUUUGUUUGUUUUUUUUUACUACCCUUUCCUAUGCGGAUUAUACCAGAUCUUGUCCCCUGAAUACGAGACGAGAAAAUACGGAAUUUGAAGACGGGGUGAGCAAGCCCCCGCAUCGUUUGUAUCUGUGUAGGGCCCCACUACAGGCUCCUAGUGAUGAAGUGACACCACCGAAGCAGUCCCGAUUUCGUAUAGGAGCCCACAAGCGAGUCCCAGUGACGGACCUCGGAACCACCAACGCGAGGUGACCCCUUUAGUAGCCUUUCACGACAUGCGGGGUUAAACGAUGGGCAUAUUCUAAACCCUUACCCAUAGGAGGAGUGAAUUAAUUAAUCGCA
rnacentral:lncRNA from 1 species